rnacentral:rRNA from 1 species
GAUGAACGCUAGCGAUAGGCUUAACACAUGCAAGUCGAGGGGCAGCACAAGGUAGCUUGCUAUCUGGGUGGCGACCGGCGCACGGGUGCGUAACGCGUAUGCAACUUGCCCUAUACAGGAGGAUAACCCGUCGAAAGACGGACUAAUACUGCGUAUGCUCACAACUUGGCAUCAAGUGGUGAGGAAAGAAAUUCGGUAUAGGAUAGGCAUGCGUCCCAUUAGCUUGUUGGUGAGGUAACGGCUCACCAAGGCAACGAUGGGUAGGGGAACUGAGAGGUUUAUCCCCCACACUGGUACUGAGACACGGACCAGACUCCUACGGGAGGCAGCAGUGAGGAAUAUUGGUCAAUGGGCGCGAGCCUGAACCAGCCAAGUCGCGUGAAGGAGGACUGUCUUAUGGAUUGUAAACUUCUUUUAUACGGGAAUAACAAGAGUCACGUGUGACUCCCUGCAUGUACCGUAUGAAUAGGCAUCGGCUAACUCCGUG